rnacentral:tRNA from 1 species
CGGAGUGUAGCUCAGCUUGGUAGAGCACCGUCUUCGGGAGGCGGGGGUCGGUGGUUCAAAUCCACUCACUCCGACCA